GGCAGUGGUGGCUUAGUGGUUAAGGCUCUGGGUUACUGAUCAGGAGGUCAGGGUUCACACCUCAGCACUGCCA